rnacentral:rRNA from 1 species
CUGGAAUGAAUGAUUGGACGAAAUAUUAACUGUUUCAUUAUAAAUUUUUAUAGAAUUUUUUUUUUAGUAAAAAAGCUAAAAUAAAUUUAAAAGACGAGAAGACCCUAUAAAUCUUUAUAUUUAAUUUAUUUAAUUUUUAUAGAUUAUUUUUUUUUAUAAUAAUUAAUAAUAUUUUAUUGGGGUGAUAUUAAAAUUUAAAUAACUUUUAAUUUUUUUUUUCAUUAAUUUAUGAUUUAUUGAUCUUUUAUUAAAGAUUAAAAGAAUAAGUUACUUUAGGGAUAACAGCG